ACAGGGUGACAGGUGGUGGCAUGGUUGUCGUCAGCUCGUGUCGUGAGAUGUUGGGUUAAGUCCCGCAACGAGCGCAACCCUCGACCUUAGCUGCCAGCAUUCAGUUGGGCACUCUAAGGUGACUGCCGGCUAAAAGUCGGAGGAAGGUGGGGAUGACGUCAAAUCAUCAUGCCCCUUAUGACCUGGGCUACACACGUGCUACAAUGGGCGGUACAAAGGGUCGCGAACCCGCGAGGGGGAGCCAAUCCCAAAAAGCCGCUCUCAGUUCGGAUUGCAGGCUGCAACUCGCCUGCAUGAAGCCGGAAUCGCUAGUAAUCGCGGAUCAGCAUGCCGCGGUGAAUACGUUCCCGGGCCUU
rnacentral:rRNA from 1 species